UUGUCUUCCCGAGUAGCUGCUCCAUUCCCGGCAUAGAGGAUCAGGAGAGGGGACGCCACCUGCCACACGCUGGAUGCUGGGGUCCGCACGACUGCGGCUUGUGUCGCUGUGGUUGGUGGUGGUGAUGGAAACUGCAGCGUGGCUGGAGUGCAGAAGAGAAACUGUCUUUAAAAUCUGUCUGCCUGGAUAAACUCAAAGGAGCCUUUACAGAAAGCACAUUCACACAGACUGGCUAAUGAGACCCCACACUGAAGAAGCCUAGAACUUCCACAGACUCCCUGAAAUCUAAGUCCUCAUUUUUAACAUACAGCUUUUAAUACUAGCUUCAGAAGUCCCGGAUCCCUGCAAAGCAGGAAGAGAGAGGUUCAUGUAACCUACUUAGGAACAGAGUUUAUUGGUUCCAAAGGCAUGAAGUCAGAGUUGUCAUCAGUUUAUCGGCGGAGAUGCUGUUACUGGGGCAAGUAUUCCUUAGAGUAUUUUAUUGGAAUUAUUACAGCC
rnacentral:lncRNA from 1 species